CUUAAUAUGUACUUUUGGUUUCCUGGUUUUGUCAUGGGUAUGUAUUUAUAUUUGUUAUAUUCCUGUUUCCCACAUACAGCCGUGGCUGUAGCAUGUGCCUUUUUUAACUAUUUUCCCUUGGCACUUUUGCUAUUGCCUGCUGUGUGUGCUAUAUUUGGUUACAUUAUUCUGCCUUUACCUCAGAUCAGGGCAAAGAUAGGAAUGCAACAGUGAAGAGAUCUUCAGAAUCCUAUUGCCUCUAUGGACACAUCCAUCUGUAGCCAUCUGGCUGUUGUGGCCACUCAGCAGCAGCUGUAUUGCCGUUUUGUAUCUGACGGGCUGGGGAUCAGCAGCAGGAGCGUUGGGAAGAGCAUUUGGUAAGUGUCAUGGUGUUUAUCCUCAGUGUCAUUAAGUUACUGGUUGCAACUGUAGAGGGGAAUGGUCUCAUCAGUAUUCUUUCAGGGUGCAGGCUUGCAAUGUUUUGUUCAAUGGACCACUGGUUUCCUUGUGCUGAUAGGCCUCAGUUUGUGUCUGAACUCCCUCUGGCCUGUUCUAGAUGGCAAAAGCAGCAGAGUUCCCCUUGGCAGGAGCCAUGACAAAUGCCCUUCCAGAACAGAACUUGAGAAUAAGUUUUGGAAGAAAGCUGUAUGGCAUUGUCUAAUUUGUUGUCCUAAAACUGAUCUCUGACAGAUAUUGGCUCUGAACCCCUUCAGGACCCACAGAGACCAUUUCGAGCUCUAGAGAGCAUGUCUUUGUUGGUACCUUCUGCCCCACAGCAAAGAUUUAUUCUGCUCCAGUUUGCUUGAGCAUUUCCUUGGAAGCUUUUCCAAGUUCUACUACAUCUUUUCCAGGAAAGAAGCAUGUGAAUGUGUCUUAAGUUCCUCUCUUAAGUAUUAGCUCUUUGCCAGUCUCUGUUGUUACCUGCUGUUUGCAUACCUUGGGGGCCUGAACAGUUUUUCUGCCUUAGAGGCACAUCUUUCUUCAGUACCUUUACUUCUACUAGUCCCCUCUUGGCUUUGGAGGUGUGUAGCAGAGACCACUUCAGUGACCUGUAGCAGUGCUGGGUGCAGAGGAACAGGCCAGCACAUUUCUUAUUCUCAGUCAAGGACAGUUGAGUUUCGUAGCUUACAAGCCAGCCUUCAUGGUGCCAGAAUUGCAGUUUUCUCUCUUACCCUCUGAGAGGGUAAAUUGAGUCAUCCAGGAACUUGUGGUUUGAAUGCUUAAGGACAUGUUCCAUUCAAAGAAUUGGGUUUACAUAACUGCUUUCCAGUCAGAUGUUACAAGAUCAUUAAAUGAAAGCCCCAAUUUUACUUUAAUUAGGGUGCAAAACCAAAGCUUAAGUGAAGAAUAUAGAACCUUAAGAUUACUUGGUUUUGUGCCUGCCAACACUGAGAGAAGGCCAUUUUACUGUAGGAAGUAGAACAGUUAGUAAAGACCUGUAAAUGUCAGUUUUGAUUAUUGAAGUAUGCAUCUGCUACCCCUCUGCAAGUGCUCUGGCCACAGGUUUUGGUUUGUACUGCGCUAAAUGUAGGAUUUAUUGCCUGGGAUACUUAAGAAGAUACUGAGGUGAUUGCACAUCUGAAGAGAAGUAAGGCAUUUAUGAUGCUCCCGUCUUCCUGAUAAACAUGUUUGUAUUAGCUAGCCCAGCAGGUAUGAAUACUACUCUGCGUGUGUGUGAACACAUGCGUGUGCUGACUCAACUGGAAUGUUGGCACGUGCUGCUGUAGGCCACAGGUUAACUGAUGUUAAGUCAGUCACAAGUGUUUGCCCUUGCAGUGUGUCAUGAAGUUCACUGACCUGCUAGUGCUCUUCUGUAUUGUGAAAAUAGCAAGGGCAAAUGGAUGGCUGAAAAAUUGCUAUAGCUGCAUUUAAGUAAGUCCAUGGGGGGAACCUGUACAGGCUUUAAAUAAUAUACAUACUACAGCCUAGCUCUAGGCAGGGCACCGGAGUGCUUCCUGAAACUCUGACUACAGAAAAGCAACUCCUUGGUAAUUAACUUGUGCUGUCUUUUGCUUGUAGCAGUAGGAAUCUUUUGAAGCCAGAAAAAGGUUGGUCUGCGCCUUUGGCAGUUACUCCAGAGCUGCUCUAAGAGCUGAUUGUGCACUCCAGGAGAGCUGUGGCUGAUGGGCAUGACACCCAGGUUACUGAAGACUAGGCAAGACCAAGAACAACACUGUCAAUCUCCAUCUAUGGGCCAAGAAAACUGCCUGCGAGUGACCAUGGUAUGAUACUGCUCUGCUUUUUCAUCCUGAAAUCAGAUACCUGUUCUGCAUCCUUAGUAAGGCCAACAUCUAUUUCUUUUUGAGACAAAUACUUGAGCAAUUUUCAUUUAUUAAGUGAGCCUGAAAUAUGAAGAAGUCAGCAGCAGCUGUUUUCUGUGCAAGAUCCACAAAAGGAGUGCCUGACUGCAGGACAGUAUCCGAGCUGAAGGUACGACAUGGGCUCAAGUGUGAGUAGAACAGUGGUCAUCACAUUAGAGUUCAGUACUAGUUUUCUAAACAACCAUCUUAAAAUAAGUAAGUGACAUGAUGCAAUCCAUUCAUGUUGCAAAGCAGCAGAACCUCUCUUACCCUUCAAGAUUAAUCUAAAGAGGCAAUAUGUGUACAAGCACAUUUUCGGAUAGGUGUGAAGGUUCAUUCUUGACUGAACAGUUUUCUAUAGGGAGUAAACUGGCAAUGUUAAACCAGGAUGGACUUACUAUGGUGUUUCUUUUUUCUUUCUAGAAAUACUUACAGAAUUCCCACAUAGGGUAUAAGUUUCCACGUUAGGGUGCUGGCAGCACUACCGGUGUUUGCACAGGGCAGACAAAGGCUAUUGUUACUUACAACAUGGCCAGGCAGUGACUGAACCUCCCUGAUGACUUACUGCCUUCUCACAACCUCUGCUUUUCUGCUAAUAGAGGACCUCCACAACUGAAGAUGCUCAAAACUCAAUGGGACAAGACAUGGGUGACCUCAUGUAAUGUAAUACUGGCCCUGCUCUGAGGGGGUAGUUGGACACCAGCAUGUCAGGCCUGGGAGAUCAUUGGCUAGUUUAUCUUUUGAAACUUAUCCCCAGUACAUCCAAGGACAUACUGAUUUACCAUCAGUAAAUGGCAGAUGUCUGGUUUUAGAAAAGGGAGGCAGUAUAAUCAAUACUGUAAUGCAGGGCUACUGAUUCAAAUGGUCCAUUUUCCCCCUCUCCUCUAGGCCUUAGCAAAUAUCUGUGGCUAGCAAGUUGUGCUGCAGUACAAUAUUUCUGAAACAGAGAAGCAGGAUGGGCAGUGUGUGUAGGAAACACUGAUGUAUGGACAGCCCAAGGCGAGGUGGGAGAACUGAAUAAAAUGCAUUUUAAAUAAAGUUUUGGGGUCAGUUUUACCUGUCU